rnacentral:ncRNA from 1 species
AUAAAUUCAAUGAAAAAGAGAGUAGCUUAAAUGAAUUUUACAGAGAGUUAGGGUUGGUGGAAGCCUAAUAUUGAAGUUUGAGUGAAUAGAGCUUUGGAGGAUAUUGCAGGAAAUAUAAAAAGUAUUGCAAUAGGAUUGUCUCGCCUUAAGAGAAAGAGUGGAUAAGUAAAACUUGUCAAUUAGAGUGGUAACGCGGAAAAUAUUCGUCUCUUGA